CAGGCAUCAUGUGAGUUUCCUCUCCAACAUGACCAUAGUGGCAACAACCUGCAGUAAAUAAAUAAGCUUUCAUCUUUAUGCUUGUUAAGGAGACAGGAGUAGAAGCAGCCUUCCCUCUUGCUUUUAAGGGGAUGGAGAGGAUGAUUGAUUCAUAUAAUGAAACAUAAACUUUAUAGCUGAACUGAAGGAUAACCAAGAGAAGACCUAACUUCGUACAAACAUCAGAAAGGACAACCAAGAAGGCUCAGACUCUCCUCUCAUUCAGCUGUUGGGAGUGACUUUGUAGAAGACAUUCUGGAUUUUCUCCUAUGAGAAGGAACACAGGAUCUGGCCUUGUGUUUCAUCCAUGCAGCCUUUUAAUUUAUCUUGGCCCAAAGACAGAUACUACAACAGUGAAAAGAACUGUCGCUCGGAAUGAACAAUAUUCACUCUCAGCAUUUCUCAUUAAAGUGUUUUAGUGCUUUAUUUAUUCCAACUAUUUUCCUGUGCUUCUAUAACGGUUUUACACUUCUGUGAAAGUGUAAAAUUCUACAAACUUUACACAUCUGUAACAGUUUCUAUCCAAGGUUCUAAAAGAAUUUUUUAAAUGUUAAUCCAUCAAAUUUUUCAUUGGCCUUUGUUUAUGGCUCUUAAACAAUUCGCAUUUUAAAGAUGAAGGAACUGAGGCACAAAAAAGAUGCAGAGCCUUGCAGGGAAAUGACAGGGAAAUCAUCAAUAUCCAGGUUUCCCACACAAAUCACGAGAUUAUAUUCCUUACACUUUUCAACUUUAGAUCAGCAUGGGUUUCCUUCCUGGAGAGAAAGCAGAGUGUCCAGAGGUGUCAUACAACAGAGUCAGAGGAUAAUAAAAUAUAAAUUCUUUGAGUACAUCAUUCUUAGUGGCCACUUUGGAUCCUGGACUACAGUGACUCUGGUGAUCAGAAAAGAAAGCAAUGUGUACAAGAAAGAGAGCAGAAUCUAACUACAUCCUUCAUCAGCAGCAUAGAAUAAUAUUUCAACAAGCAUCCUUCUACAAAACAAGAUAAGUACUCUAGGCUGAGAUGCAGCUUGCUGUCAUGCAGCUACAGAAGGCAAGCAAGAUAUGCAGCAACUGAAAAAGAAAUAACUAUCCCACUAUAUACCAUUUUAGGAUUUACCUUCAACCUGUAGUAGCCUCAGGGAACUGUAGAAGGAACAGUGAGUUCACAUACUGCGGGUAACAGAUGAUGUUUAUGAAAUGUUUUAAUGUUGCUCAGUUUAGCAGGUUACUCAGUAAUGUUCCUCAGGAAUGGUGGUGAUUAAGCCUUGUAAUCCUGUCCAUUGGUGCUCCUAGAAAAAGAAAAGAAUUAACUAAAGACAUUGAGCCUUAAUGUUUGCAAAAUAUUUGGUAAAAUGUUUAUCUUAGAGAGAGAUGCCAGACUUCUGGAUUCUUAAUUAUAGUUCAACUGUUCAAAAUUAAUUAUAUCGAAAAGGAGCAAGGUCAGUCUAGAAAAAGAGAACAAAAAUCGUAAGAGUGAGUCACCGUAUAGUAUCUGCUCUAGAGAGUUUCUGGUCAGGGAAAUAGCCAAAGCAUUCUGCUAUCGCAGAUGCAAACAUAUAGCAGAUAAACCAAGCAGGAGAAGACUUGGGCAAUGCAUGAAACUGCUUGAGGCUGCUGGCUGAAAUCCAAGGAAGGCAUGGCCCAGUGAACUGGAGGUUACUCUAAAUCUAACAGAGGAGAGUGAGAAAUCAGAGAGACCUGACAAGAACCAGCUAGCUUUGCCAUUCAGAUUGCAUUUAGGCUCCUUCCAGAAACAGCUCUAGAAAGUUUCUGGGCACAUUUUAAGUUCUCUGUAAAAAUAAUAAUCCUAAAUUUAUUAAUCUCCUGAACAGGAAUUCCCAAUCUCAAGAUGCGUCAGCAUCUGAACUUUUCUGUGAAGACACAGAGCAGAUAACGAGGGGGAAAAAGUUUCCUCUUCAGCUAAUAUUGCCUAGCCCCAGCC
rnacentral:lncRNA from 1 species